AACAUCUGGAGAGUGGCGCGCGGUACGGCGCCCACCGAAGGGGAUCCCUGGCGCGUUUGCAGCGGCGCACGGGUGAAGCUCUCAGGUAAAUGGACAGAUGGGGUUGC
rnacentral:ncRNA from 1 species